GAAAAAUCUGAGCGAGCUCUGAGCGCUCUGCGGGGCACAGAACCGCACGGAUGGGGCACCGCUCAUCGUGCGGCUCCGCUGCGGGCGCGGGGCCGGGGCUCGGAGACGCGGUGGUGUCCGGAGCGAUGUCCGGUGCCAUCCCGCAUUCCCCCUACAGUCGUCCCGAGUCCAGAGGGCGGUAGGGUCUCUUAACCGACAAAGUGCGCCUUAAUUACUGCUGUUAAUUAUUAGCGCCGGUUAUUGGACGUUGUUAGGAACUUCAUGAAAUAACUAAACAAACCGGUAAUCCAAGGCCCUACAACAACAAAACCGAACAAUCGCGUGAAUCUGAGUAGAGCGGGGAAUCAUUUCAAACGCCUAAAGCUUUGACCAAUGUGCACAAGGCUUUUCUGACUGCCGGCCUCCCCACAGACGCGCUCCGGCCCGCACUGCCGCCCGCAUCCCCGCCCCGCGCAGCGCCGCGAUCCCUCCGGCCCGGGGUUCCCCGCGCCCGCACUCCGCCCCGUUGCGGUGUAACGCAGCGCUCAGCGGCACCGCGCGGCACACAAAGAGCGGCACCGCCCGCACCGCCCGCGCGUAUAGGGAUGGAGUCACCGAUAAGCAAAGAGCUUCCAACCGUCGGCAAAUCCUUGCCGUAUGUACACUCGCUUCAAAUACUGCAGACGUAGAGCAGUGAAGGGAAAGCAGGGGCAGCAGAAUGAGCAGAGUGCCGUUCAGGAUCUGUGUGUUUUCCCCGCACCUCCUUCACGCAGAAUGACAAAGGACCCGAGGACACACCACGCUGGGGAAACGCCUGGGGAAUGCCGUGGUUGGUUCUGCAGGGGAUCAGAAUGUGCUCCGGAAGGCUCAAUAUCACAAACGGCCGUUUUCCUCUCAUUCUUAUUGCCUAAGAUAUGAAUGUUCAUAUUCAAGAAUGCGCUUUCAAAUCCACAGCACUCCAGGGUAAUAUUAAAUGAACUCUAUUUAAUAAAACACAUUCCAAGUUGUUAUUUUGAUUGGAG
rnacentral:lncRNA from 1 species